rnacentral:rRNA from 1 species
AGCCCUAAGUGGGUGGUAAACUCCAUCUAAGGCUAAAUAUGACCACGAGACCGAUAGCGAACAAGUACCGUGAGGGAAAGUUGAAAAGCACUUUGAAGAGAGAGUUCAAGAGUACGUGAAACCGUUUAGGGGUAAACCUGAGAAACCCGAAAGGUCGAAGGAAGAAAUUCAUUCGCGUUUCGUCGCAGGCGUCGAGCGGGAUCGUGUGACGGGGAGCGUGUUCGCGCGCUACCCGCGCCUCCCGUUCUUCGAACCGGUAACGAACGCGUGCACUUUUCUUCUGGUAGGACGUCGCGAUCCGUUGGGUGUCGGUCUACGGCUCGCGGUGGAGCCCGUUCGUCGUAUGUCUCGUACGUACGAACGGACCCGCGUGUCCCGGCUGACUCGCUCGACGGUACACGAAAGGUUCAAGGCCGCUCUCUAGGAGCGUUCGGCUCGCGGCAAGCGCGCCAGAUGCGUCGGCGAUCGGACCUAGUGCCGAUUCUGACCUCUGGUGACUGUUGGCCGCGAAGUUCUCGAACAGACCUUAAGAGACCGAUCAGCGACGCUAUAGCUUUGGGUACUUUCAG